AACACCUUUAAUUACAGUCCAGAGAGGCUGAGAAGGUAUUUACGCAAGCUGGAAGUCUGUCUUCCAUGCUGAAUUUUUCUGCGCAUCUAUCCUCUUGUCCCUCGGGCAAGAGGUUUUUUAUU
rfam:Planococcus sp. PAMC 21323, complete genome.